AUAAGCGCUGGAAACGGCGUCUAAUACUGGAUACGAGUAGCGAUCGCAUGGUCAGCUACUGGAAAGAUUUUUUGGUUGGGGAUGGGCUCGCGGCCUAUCAGCUUGUUGGUGAGGUAAUGGCUCACCAAGGCGUCGACGGGUAGCCGGCCUGAGAGGGUGACCGGCCACACUGGGACUGAGACACGGCCCAGACUCCUACGGGAGGCAGCAGUGGGGAAUAUUGCACAAUGGGCGGAAGCCUGAUGCAGCAACGCCGCGUGAGGGAUGACGGCCUUCGGGUUGUAACCUCUUUAGCAGGGAAGAAGCGAAAGUGACGGUACCUGCAGAAAAAGCGCCGGCUAACUACGUGCCAGCAGCCGCGGUAAUACGUAGGGCGCAAGCGUUAUCCGGAAUUAUUGGGCGUAAAGAGCUCGUAGGCGGUUUGUCGCGUCUGCUGUGAAAUCCCGAGGCUCAACCUCGGGCCUGCAGUGGGUACGGGCAGACUAGAGUGCGGUAGGGGAGAUUGGAAUUCCUGGUGUAGCGGUGGAAUGCGCAGAUAUCAGGAGGAACACCGAUGGCGAAGGCAGAUCUCUGGGCCGUAACUGACGCUGAGGAGCGAAAGGGUGGGGAGCAAACAGGCUUAGAUACCCUGGUAGUCCACCCCGUAAACGUUGGGAACUAGUUGUGGGGUCCAUUCCACGGAUUCCGUGACGCAGCUAACGCAUUAAGUUCCCCGCCUGGGGAGUACGGCCGCAAGGCUAAAACUCAAAGGAAUUGACGGGGACCCGCACAAGCGGCGGAGCAUGCGGAUUAAUUCGAUGCAACGCGAAGAACCUUACCAAGGCUUGACAUAUACGAGAACGGGCCAGAAAUGGUCAACUCUUUGGACACUCGUAAACAGGUGGUGCAUGGUUGUCGUCAGCUCGUGUCGUGAGAUGUUGGGUUAAGUCCCGCAACGAGCGCAACCCUCGUUCUAUGUUGCCAGCACGUAAUGGUGGGAACUCAUGGGAUACUGCCGGGGUCAACUCGGAGGAAGGUGGGGAUGACGUCAAAUCAUCAUGCCCCUUAUGUCUUGGGCUUCACGCAUGCUACAAUGGCCGGUACAAAGGGCUGCAAUACCGUGAGGUGGAGCGAAUCCCAAAAAGCCGGUCCCAGUUCGGAUUGAGGU
rnacentral:rRNA from 1 species